AUUGAACGCUGGCGGCAUGCUUUACACAUGCAAGUCGAACGGUAACAGGUUAAGCUGACGAGUAGCGAACGGGUGAGUAAUGCAUCGGAACGUGCCCGAUCGUGGGGGAUAACACUUCGAAAGGAGUGCUAAUACCGCAUACGAUCUGAGGAUGAAAGCGGGGGACCGUAAGGCCUCGCGCGAUCGGAGCGGCCGGUGUCAGAUUAGGUAGUUGGUGGGGUAAAGGCUCACCAAGCCGACGAUCUGUAGCUGGUCUGAGAGGAAGACCAGCCACACUGGGACUGAGCCACGGCCCAGACUCCUACGGGAGGCAGCAGUGGGAAAUUUGGACAAUGGGCGCAAGCCUGAUCCAGCAAUGCCGCGUGCAGGAAGAAGGCCUUCGGGUUGUAAACUGCUUUUGUACGGAGCGAAAAGGCUCCCUCUAAUACAGGGGGCUCAUGACGGUACCGUAAGAAUAAGCACCGGCUAACUACGUGCCAGCCGCCGCAGUAA
rnacentral:rRNA from 1 species